CAGUCGCCGCGGUAAUACGUAGGUGGCAAGCGUUGUCCGGAAUUAUUGGGCGUAAAGGGCUCGCAGGCGGUUUCUUAAGUCUGAUGUGAAAGCCCCCGGCUCAACCGGGGAGGGUCAUUGGAAACUGGGAAACUUGAGUGCAGAAGAGGAGAGUGGAAUUCCACGUGUAGCGGUGAAAUGUGUAGAGAUGUGGAGGAACACCAGUGGCGAAGGCGACUCUCUGGUCUGUAACUGACGCUGAGGAGCGAAAGCGUGGGGAGCGAACAGGAUUAGAUACCCCGGUAGUCCCUGUCUCUUAUAC
rnacentral:rRNA from 1 species